rnacentral:rRNA from 1 species
CUAGCCGGCCAUAGCGCGUGGGUCCGACCUGGACUCGUUCCGAACCCAGACUCGCAAGAGGGGGAGAAGUCAAACCGCGCGUCGCCCCGGUGCUACUGACUUCCGAGAGGAGUCGGGAAGCCGAGGUGCCGGCGCCU